rnacentral:lncRNA from 1 species
UGGGAUGGGAUCGGGGCAGGAUCCCGGCACAUUUUGGGUAGGAUCCCGGCAGGUUUGGGGUCAGAUCCUGGCAGAUUUUGGGCAGGAUCCCCACAGAUGUUGGGCAGGAUCCCGGCAGGUUUUAGGUAGGAUCCGGGAAGAUUUGGGGCAGGAUCCCAGCAGAUUUUAAUGAGGAUCCCGGCAGGUUGGGGGCAGGAUCCCAGUAGGUUUGGGGUCGGAUCCCAGUAAAUUUGGGGCAGGAUCCCGGCAGGAUCCUGUCAGAUUUUAUUCCAGAUCCAAACAGACUUCGGGCAGGAUCCCGGCAGGUUUGGGGUCGGAUCCCAGCACAUUUUAGGCAGGAUCCUGGCAGAUUUGGGGCAGAAUCCAGGCAGGUUUUAGGAUCCACGGGGACUUGAGGCAGGAUCCCAUCAGGUUUUAAGCAGGAUCCAGGCACAUUUUAGGCAGAAUCCCAGCAUAUAUGGGGCAGGACCCAGGCAGGAUCCAGGCAUGUUUUGGGCAGAAUCCUGGCAUAUUUGGGGCAGGAUCCAGGCAAGUUUUAGGCAAAAUCCCAGCUGGUUUGGGGCAGGAUCCCGGCACAUUUUGGGCAGAAUCCUGGCAUAUUUGGGGCAGGGUCCCAGCACGUUUUAGGCAGAAUCCUGGCAUGUUUGGGGCAGAAUCCAGGCACAUUUUAGGCAGAAUCUUGGCAGAUUUGGGGCAGGAUCCUGGCUCAUUUUGGGCAGGAUCCCAGCACAUUUGGGGCAGAAUCCCGGCAUAUUUGGGGCAGGACCCAGGCACAUUUUACACAGAAUCCUGGCAUGUUUGGGGCAGGAUCCAGGCACAUUUUGGGCAGAAUCCCAGCUGGUUUGGGGUACAUUUUGGGCAGGAUCCUGGUAUAUUUGGGGCAGGAUCCCAUCAGGUUUUGGGCAGGAUCCCGUGGGGAUCCGCGGCAGGCCCCGUGCAGGCCCCAGCCCCUGGCCUGCUGCCAGCGGGGCCGGUAACGGCGCCGGGUUCCUGCGGUUCGGGCCCAGCGGGGCCGGGCGGAAACGGCCCCAACGGCCCCGGCACCGCAGCGGGGGUCCCGCGGGGCUGUGUUAUUGUAGGGUCUCCUGGUGUGAUAACGUGGGGUCCUUGGGCACUGUUAUUGUAGGGUCUCCUGGUGUUGUGGUAAUGUUGGGUCCUCAAACACUGUUAUUGUGGGGUCUCCUGGCUCUGGGUUUGUUUGUUAUCAGGUUUCCUGGCGUUAUGUUAUUGUAGGGUCUCCUGGUGUUGUGGUAAUGUGGGGUCCUCGGGCACGGUGUUAUUGUAGGGUCUCCAGGCUCUGGGUUUGUUAUCAGGUUUCCUGAUAUGUUCUUGUAGGGUUUCCUGGUGCCGCGUUGUUGUAAGGGCCCUGGCACUGUGUUAUUGUAGGGUCUCUUGGCUCUGUGUUAUUGUAGGGUCUCCUGGCAUUAUGUUAUUGUAGGGUCUCCUGUUUUUGGUUUGUUUUGUUUUAUUAUUAUUAUUGUAGGGUCUCUUAGGGCUAUGUUAUUGUAGGGUCUCCUGUCUCUUUGUUUUUAUAGGGUCUCCCAUUUUUUUUGUUAUUGUAGGGUCUCCUGGCAAUAUGUUAUUGUAGGGUCCCUGCUGCUGUGUUUUAGGGGGGAUGGGGGUGGCGGGGGGGUGACGGGGGGGUGUGUGUGGGGGUGACACGUGGUGACGGGGGGUGACAUGGGGUGACACGGGGGUGACACCUGCCCCGCGGCGGUUGGCCCUUGUGCAACGUCCCUUGGCAUUGGGCAAUGGGGUGGCGCAAGGCGG